AUGCAGCGAGCCUUUGGGUUCCCAUGGAGGAUGACCUGGUCGAGAGAAAGGAGGACAGGAAAGCCGUGGCGGCGCUUAUGUGCGCCAUGCCGCCGGAGAUGCAUGGCAUGCUCGCGGCGAAGGCAAGCGCCAAGGAGGCAUGGUAAGCCAUCCGUACCUAGCGCCUCGGAGGCAACCGCGUGCGCGAGGCGAACACGCAGAAGCUGCGGGCGGACUUCAAGAACAUUGCCUUCAAGGAGGGCGAGCUCGUUGACGACUUCGCCAUGCGAAUCUCCAGCCUUGCGUCGUAGCUCCGAGUGCUCGACGACACCAUGGACGACGCGAGUCGUGCGGAAAUUUCUUCGCGUCGUGCCACCUCGCUUCGCUCAGAUAGAGGUCUCCAUCGAGACCUUGCUUGACCUGAUCGAGCUCUCCAUCGAGAAGCUCACAUGCCGGUUGCGGGUGGUCGAGGACUGCCUUGAUGACGGCCGCGAGACCUUCGGCGGCGGACAACUCCUAUUCUCGAAGAACUGGGAGGCGAGGAAGCGUCAAGGACGUGGUGGAGGUGCCCCGAGCAACGGAGGCGACACCGGCAGAGGCGGUGGUCGCACCCAGGGCGGAGCCGGACGAGGUGCCGGCAACGACGACCGAGAAAAGUGCCGAUAUUGCAGCAUCAAGGGCCACUGGGCCCGUGAGUGCCGCAAGAGGAUGGCUGACGAGGAUGUCGCAGCCGCGGCAAAUCUCGUGCGGGCUGAAGAGGACGAUGGGCCAUCAAUGAUGAUGACUUGCGUCGAGACCAUGCAGGAGGGCGCAGCGCCCGUGCAGGAGGGCGCAACACCUCCGACGACCACGGUGCCGGCAACCGUCAAGUCCGUGCAGGAGGCACGAAGCUCUUCAACUGAUCCCCUCCCAACAUCGAUAGCGAUUUCCCCGACAACAGCAUUCUCGGGGGCCUACGACUGGGAGGAGAUGAAGACCCGGGUGUGGGGGAACCACACUCCGGUAACCACGUCCCCUGCGACGCUGGUCAAGCCCGUGCAAGUUGGCACGGCAAUCGCGGCCCCAGCAUCCUCGGGACCCGAUAAGACCGUGCAAGUUGGCAUGACAAUCACGGCCCCGACAUCCUCGGGACCCGGUAAGACCGUGCAAGUUGGCACGAUAAUCGCGGUCCCGACAUCCUCGGGACUCGACAAGCCCGUGUCAGGAGGCACGGCGAUGACGCAUCUGGUGGGCCAUGUCCCGACCAUGAUGCUGGCGACCAGUGAGCUCGUGCAAGAGGCACGACACUCUCAAGUCGGCCACACCGCUACAACCAUGUUCUCAGGGUCCUGCAAGCCCAUGUGGGCGACACGACACUCUUCGACAGACCUCAACUGGGGGGCGAUGAAGAGACGGUCAUGGGGCGGCAAGGCCUCGACCAUGACUCUGGCGACCAUCGAGGCCGUGCAGGAGGCGUGGAGCUCUCUAGUCGGCCACGCCGCAACCCCGACACACUCGAGGUCGAUCGAGUUCGUGCGGGAGGCACGACACUCUCUGGUUGGGCACGCCCCGACUAUGCUGGUGGCAACCGUCGAGACCGUGGAGGAGCAACGGUGCUCUAUGGUCGGCCACGCCGCAACCCCGACACGCUCGGGGUCCAUCGAGUCCGUGCGGGAGGCACGACUCACAACUGCCGGGGGAGACCUGACAAGCAAGUUUGUUGGGAAGAGUGACAAGGAGUCUGCUAGCUUGGGAAAAGCCACUCCGGUUAGUGCAGUGUCCGACGAGUCAUCCCCGGGAAGGGAGUUCCCGGGUAGCAUGACGUCUGACACAACUACCCCGGGAAGAGUUCCCGGGCAGUGUAACAUCAGGAACUACGACCCCACUAACACUGACACCCAAGAGUGA
rnacentral:rRNA from 1 species